rnacentral:rRNA from 1 species
UGGGGAAUCUUCCGCAAUGGACGAAAGUCUGACGGAGCAACGCCGCGUGAGUGAAGACGGCCUUCGGGUUGUAAAGCUCUGUGAUCCGGGACGAAAGAGCCUGAGGUAAAUAGCCUAAGGAAGUGACGGUACCGGAAAAGCAAGCCACGGCUAACUACGUGCCAGCAGCCGCGGUAAUACGUAGGUGGCAAGCGUUGUCCGGAAUUAUUGGGCGUAAAGCGCGCGCAGGCGGCUUACUAAGUCCAUCUUAAAAGUGCGGGGCUUAACCCCGUGAUGGGAUGGAAACUGGAAAGCUGGAGUAUCGGAGAGGAAAGUGGAAUUCCUAGUGUAGCAGUGAAAUGCGUAGAGAUUAGGAAGAACACCGGUGGCGAAGGCGACUUUCUGGACGAAAACUGACGCUGAGGCGCGAAAGCGUGGGGAGCAAACAGG